CUCAGGAAAGGGUGCUGGGCCGCGGACCCUCCCAGGGACUCACUAAAAUGCUCCUGGAUCCGGUUCAGGAUGUUCAUGCUGUGCUUGCUGUCCACCAUGUUCACGGCCAGGCCCCUCUUGCCAAAGCGGCCGGUGCGUCCGAUCCGGUGCAGGUAGGUCUCGUUGUCCGGGUUCCCGUCCUUGUCCACGGGAAGAUCAAAGUUGAUGACGACAGAGACUUGUUCCACGUCGAUGCCUGCGUGAAGGAGAGUGGGAAACACAGAGGACUGAGGACGGCAGACAAAAACCAUCAUUGUCCACAGGUAGGUCAACGCAGAUCAAGUCUGGGUGGAGAGAGAGUCUAGGACAUGCCAACUCUGGGAACUGGGUACAAGAGAGGACAAAUACUGACGUAGCAGAAUCCAGAGAGCAAGAGCAGAACCUUGGCAGGUGCAGUGAAUUAUGGCAGCAGUGAGAAAGCCUCUGGUAGGCACAAGUAUCUGGAGCUGGGUGCCCAGGAAGAGCAGACUCCAUCCUCUACCAGUCAGAUGCCCGUACGUUUCCUUCCACAAGGCAGACUCCUGGCUUCUGUGUAAGUUCUUAUCUUACAAAAUCCAAAUACUCUCUCUUAGAAAGAAAUCUCACCACCAACCCCACGAAUCUCCCACAGACAGAUUUCUAUUAUAUAAACAAGGAUUUCUCUCCCGAACAGGGCCUGGGACCCUGAGCCUAGCAGACCAAAACACACUGUCUGCUCACCGCGGGCACACACAUUGGUGGUCACCAGAACCUUCUCUUUGCCCUCUCGGAAGCGCUCAAUCACUGCAGCCCUCUGCUCCACCAUCAUUUCACCACUCAGCAGAGCCACCUGGUGGCCUUCUUUUGAGAGCUCCGCUGCCAGCCAGCUAGCCGUUUUGCGGGUCUGGAAGAGAGAGAAAUGAAGCCCUUCCAAAGCCAGCUGUGCAGAUGCUCAGGACCCUCAACAGGACUGUCAAAGGUGCUUUCCACUGAAGAUACCAGGAACCCAGUCUCUUUUGACGGAUUUUAUUCUAGAAACAGAUAAGCUGUUCUUAAGACUGUAAACCCUAGAGUCUAACAAAAGGGCUUACCUAAUAAGAAAUGUUCCUGACAUCCAGAAAUCACCUGUCAGCCAAUAUUUUAUUGAAAGUUCUAAGAGCAUAAAAGAAAAAAGACUUUCAGCUAUAAUGAAUAAAUUUGUGGCAUUUAAAAAUUCCUAUCAAGAGGAGAAGAACUGGGUAGCCAAAAGACAAGGGCGGGAGAUUAUUACUGUAAAUUUUUUCAUGCGUUUUGA